rnacentral:rRNA from 1 species
UGGGGAAUAUUGGACAAUGGGCGAAAGCCUGAUCCAGCCAUGCCGCGUGUGUGAAGAAGGUCUUCGGAUUGUAAAGCACUUUAAGUUGGGAGGAAGGGCAGUAAGCGAAUACCUUGCUGUUUUGACGUUACCGACAGAAUAAGCACCGGCUAACUCUGUGCCAGCAGCCGCGGUAAUACAGAGGGUGCAAGCGUUAAUCGGAAUUACUGGGCGUAAAGCGCGCGUAGGUGGUUCGUUAAGUUGAAUGUGAAAGCCCCGGGCUCAACCUGGGAACUGCAUCCAAAGCUGGCGAGCUAGAGUAGGGCAGAGGGUGGUGGAAUUUCCUGUGUAGCGGUGAAAUGCGUAGAUAUAGGAAGGAACACCAGUGGCGAAGGCGACCACCUGGGCUCAUACUGACACUGAGGUGCGAAAGCAUGGGGAGCAAACAGG